UAUAUAUAUAUAUAUAUAUAUAUAUAUAUAUAUAUAUAUAUAUAUAUAUAUCGACCCUUCGCAUUUUGAAACUAUGAGAUAAAUUUUAUGAUUAGUAUUCUAUGGUAUAUAUAAUAUGCAGCAAAAGAAAAAAUGAAAAAAAAAAACAACAACAACAACAAAAGAAGAAAAGAGCAAUUUAGUAUACAUAUAUGUGUAUAUAAAUAUACGAUAAAGAUUAUUAUGGUGUAAGUGAUUGAAUAAAUGUAAUGAAUAAUAACGAUAUCUAAUUAUCAUUUAUAGUAUAGCGUUUCGCCUCUUUGCCGUUUAGUGAGUUCAGUUUGAGAUUGUAAUAACAUAUCAGGUUGAGGAAAUGAAAUCAAUUCAAUAAUUGGGGAAAAAUGCAUAAAAAUGGAAGUAAGAAAUUUAUUUUUAACGAUCACUUCAGUCUUCGGGGAAAAACCGCAGGAGCUUGCAGCUUGCAGCAGUUCAACUAAAAUCGUACCUAUAAUUCUCUACUGAUUAUAUUGUUGUGUCUUUACGGUAGCACGUAUAUGUAAUUAUGCGUUUAAAAAAAAAAAAACGUUGUAUACUUGGGUUCGUAAAUAAUAGGACCAUGCAUCAUCACAGUCGCCUGCAGUUGUGUUAAAUGAAUUUCCGAUUCACAUAUAAAUAUCCAUGCUCGCAAGGGUGAUUUGAGUAUAAUUAAUCAUUAAUCACAUGAAAGUAUGAUAAUAAAUUUUUUAUAAAUCGAAAAAUAUAUACCGCGAUCAUUAUAUCGCGCUGAUUAUAAUCCUGAGCGUUACAAA